GUGCUCGCUUUGGCAGCACAUAUACAGAAAUUGGAACAAUGCAGAGAUUAGCAUGGUCCCUGAGCAAGGAUGACAUGCAAAUUUGUGAAGUGUUUCAUAUUGGG
ensembl:snRNA U6 U6 spliceosomal RNA